AUUUGUGGUUACAUAUUCCAGUAUCUAGGAAGUUGGGCUAGAAGCUAAUCUCCAGAGCCGGAUUUCACUCCCAACUUCUCGUACACUAGGAAACUUCUGCAUUUGGCCGAAAGAGUCACUGCCUCUGGGAAUGUGUGAUAAAAAAGAGCCAGCUUUGCAUUUCUCAUCUCACCAUCACGAACUACCCAUCCACAUUGUACAUUAUGAAUAUCGAAUACACUCAACACAUUAAUAAACUAAAUCUAAUUAAACAUGUAAAUAAACCAAUUGAAACCAAUGAAAGGAAAUCGUUCAUUCGUUCGUUCGUUUGUUACCUCAGUAAAGCGCAAUACCAAAAACCAACCAAAAUCAUUUUCUAAACUUACAUGAGUAUUUUAAAAUUUGUAAGCCGUAACUCAUGAAAUCGAACCAAAAAAUAACAAGCAUAUAAAACUGAAAAAAAAAACUGAAAAUCUAUCAAGCGCCACAAUAAACAACAAUAUAAAAACCAAUUUCAUCUCAACUCAAUGAUUUUGUAAAACUCGUUCAAAAUCCUAAGGACCUGGUCAAUCGGAUCUAUAAUUAUUUCUCAACGCCAUAGAAAUCAAUUAUAGCAACUCAACAGCAUCAUACAGAAAUCGAAACGAAACUGAAACUGAAAAUUAUUCAGAUUGCUUGUUAUAGUUAUCUAGUUUAAGUACCAGACACUCUAAGGAUCGCCACUAUCAAAUAACUUGGGAACGGGAACAAGUUUUUAGUAAAAUUUUUUUACACUAACAAACAUCAUUGUAACUGAAGAGGAAACUUUUUCUGUUGAACGCGACUUGGUAGCAGCACUAAAACCAAACAAAACACUUCUAACCCAACUACGAAGCAAAUAGCGAAAGCGAAUACAUACUAAUCCUAAAAGUUAAGAUGAACAAUGCAGGUGCAAUGAGGUAACAACGAAACGAAACAAAAUCCAAGAAAUCGACUAUGCUUGAUAUGUAUCCGGAUAACACGAAAGCGCACAUCAAACACGACUAAUAAUAUAUUAAAUAUUUUUGUUUCUUGCGAA
rnacentral:sRNA from 1 species